rnacentral:rRNA from 1 species
AGCGAACGCUGGCGGCAGGCCUAACACAUGCAAGUCGAACGAACCCUUCGGGGUUAGUGGCGGACGGGUGAGUAACACGUGGGAACGUGCCUUUAGGUUCGGAAUAACUCAGGGAAACUUGUGCUAAUACCGAAUGUGCCCUUCGGGGGAAAGAUUUAUCGCCUUUAGAGAGGCCCGCGUCUGAUUAGCUAGUUGGUGAGGUAAUGGCUCACCAAGGCUACGAUCAGUAGCUGGUCUGAGAGGAUGACCAGCCACAUUGGGACUGAGACACGGCCCAAACUCCUACGGGAGGCAGCAGUGGGGAAUCUGGCGCAAUGGGCGAAAGCCUGACGCAGCCAUGCCGCGUGGAUGAUGAAGGUCUUAGGAUUGUAAAAUCCUUUCACCGGUGAAGAUAAUGACUGUAGCCGGAGAAGAAGCCCCGGCUAACGGAGGGCCAGCAGCCGCCGUAACAC